UACCCCUCCGACCCUACUCUCCAAGUCGCCCGAAUUCGACUCAAUCACGUACGUGUUAACUCGCCCCCUAAACUCACUCUUGACCUCUCCUUCUCUCUUGUCAUCAGGAUUCGAAACAGAGACUUCUUUUCCUUAGACUAUAGUUCCCUCGAUGUUUCGGUUGGGUACAGAGGAAGAGAGCUGGGGCUUGUGCGUUCUCAGGGAGGGAAAAUUAGGGCGAGAGGAUCGUCGUACGUGAAUGCCUUGCUUGAUUUGAAUGGUCUUGAGAUUAUACACGAUGUGUUUUACUUGAUUGAGGAUUUGGCUAGGGGUGUUAUUCCCUUUGAUACCAGUACCAAGGUCCAUGGAGAGCUUGGGCUCUUGUUUUUCAAA
rnacentral:misc_RNA from 1 species